UACGGGGGGGGCAAGCGUUGUUCGGAAUUACUGGGCGUAAAGGGCUCGUAGGUGGCCAACUAAGUCAGACGUGAAAUCCCCAGGCUCAACUUGGGAACUGCGUCUGAUACUGGAUGGCUUGAAUUCGGGAGAGGGAUGCAGAAUUCCAGGUGUAGCGGUGAAAUGCGUAGAUAUUCGGAGGAACACCAGAAGCGAAGGCGGCCAACUGGCCCGAUACUGACGCUGAGGCGCGAAGGCGUGGGGAGCAAACAGG
rnacentral:rRNA from 1 species